rnacentral:rRNA from 1 species
GACGAACGCUGGCGGCGUGCUUAACACAUGCAAGUCGAACGGAAAGGCCCUGCUUUUGUGGGGUGCUCGAGUGGCGAACGGGUGAGUAACACGUGAGUAACCUGCCCUUGACUUUGGGAUAACUUCAGGAAACUGGGGCUAAUACCGGAUAGGAGCUCCUGCUGCAUGGUGGGGGUUGGAAAGUUUCGGCGGUUGGGGAUGGACUCGCGGCUUAUCAGCUUGUUGGUGGGGUAGUGGCUUACCAAGGCUUUGACGGGUAGCCGGCCUGAGAGGGUGACCGGCCACAUUGGGACUGAGAGACGGCCCAGACUCCGACGGGAGGCAGCAGGGGGGAAUAUUGCACAAUGGGCGGAAGCCUGAUGCAGCAACGCCGCGUGCGGGAUGACGGCCUUCGGGUUGUAAACCGCUUUCGCCUGUGACGAAGCGUGAGUGACGGUAAUGGAUAAAAAAGCACCGGCUAACUACGUG